AGGGUAUGUCAGAUCCGCCACAAAUACAGAGAGUCCACUGUUCACAUUGACAGAGUCACAGAGAGUCCACUGUUCACAUUGACAGAGUCUCCCCUAUAUUUGCACGACGUCGUACAAGUACAAGAUACAACCACAACAUAUGAACAUCCAUAUUCAUUUACCAUUCAUAUUAACAUUCAUUUCAUCACAAAUAUUCAUAAGUUCACAUCUAUUAGUUUAAAACGUUUCCUACUCGGAAACUCGUUUUGAAAUACUAGGAACCAGGAAAAACCAGAAAAUUCUUUUUAAAAUCGUUUCCCACACGAAAUUUUUUUUUUUUAAAACACGCUAUCACGAGGGGUAGAAAACUAUUUUUAAUUCAUAAAACUCCGUAAACUUUAUUACAUUCAUAAAAAUCAUAUGAAUUCAAAUGAAAUAAACCACUGAACCAUAAAUAUUAUCUAAGUCAUUUAU
rnacentral:lncRNA from 1 species